AUGGCUAUGCUGCCAAGUGAUUUGUCACAUCAUGGAAUUGUAGAAAAUAGCCCCUACAGAAUUACAAAGAGCGGGAAUAAGGAAGCUGGCAAACUUAGUGCUUCAUGGUAUUUCAGUAGAAAGGAAAUAGAAGAGAAUUCUCCGUCCAAGAGGGAUGGCAUUGAUUUAAAGAAAGAGACUUACCUUCGGAAAUCGUAUUGCACUUAUCUACAAGAUUUGGGGAUGCGGCUCAAAGUGCCACAAGUGACAAUUGCUACAUCUAUUGUGUUCUGUCACCGUUUUUACCUUCGUCAAUCUCAUGCAAAAAAUGAUAGACGAACAAUCGCUACUGUUUGCAUGUUCUUGGCUGGAAAAGUCGAAGAAACACCUAGGCCUUUGAAGGAUGUCAUCCUGGUUUCUUACGAGCUUAUUCAUAAAAAGGAUCCUGCUGCUGGUCAGAAAAUCAAGCAGAGGGAAGUAUAUGAUCAACAAAAAGAACUCAUUUUACUUGGGGAGCGAGUUGUACUUGCAACACUUGGUUUUGACCUUAAUGUGCACCAUCCUUACAAGCCCUUGGUUGAAACAAUAAAGAAAUUCAAGAUUACUCAUAAUGCGCUUCCUCAGGUUGCCUGGAAUUUUGUCAAUGAUGGGCUGCGCACUUCACUCUGUCUGCAAUUCAAGCCCCAUCAUAUUGCAGCAGGUGCUCUCUUUUUGGCUGGUAAGUUUCUCAAAGUGAAAUUUCUUCCAGAUGACGGUGAGAAGGCUUGGUAUCAGGAGUUUGAUGUGACACCAAGACAGCUGGAAGAGGUUAGCAAUCAAAUGUUAGAGCUGUAUGAGCAAAACCGUGUUGUACAGUCGCAACCAACAAAUGGGAAUGAAGCUGAAGGGAGCUCAGCUGGUGUGCCUAAUCAAAGGAUCUCCGUAAAAGCAGAAGCCAACUCGGAGGAACCUCGUGUUGUGCAUCAUCCAGCAUCCAAACAGCCAGAUUCCAAUCCCUCUACAUCAACAGGUGUUCCAAUUCACAAUGGUGCUGAGCACUCAAAGCCACACAAGCAGAUUGGUAGCCAGAAAAGUCUUCAGAGUGACAAUGGUGGCCAUGAAAACGACAAAACAAGCAGUCAGAGUGGAGGUAGAGUUGAUACUAGUACAAAGGAUGGUUUGCAUGAUGGCACAAAGUCCUUGUCGAGAAGUUCCAGGCCCAGCGACAAACCUGGUAUUCCAACAGAAGAGAAACCUCUUCCAUCGCAUGCUAGUUCGAGUGAAUUGAGAGAUGGUAAUCUCAGUAACAGUGGUGAUCCCAGUGUCUCAUCCUCCAUGAUGGAUGCCAUGAAUAAAAUUGACAAGGACAAGGUAAAGGCAGCUUUGGAGAAGCGAAGAAAAUUGAAAGGUGAUGUUGCUAGGAAGGUACAUGUGAUGGAUGAUGACGACCUACUUGAGAGGGAAUUAGAACAUGGUGUAGAGUUGGCUGUUGAGGAUGAGAAGAUCAAGCAGGAGAGGAACGAUUGUAGUAUGCAUCAAGAGGAUCACCGUAAUGCUGAUGGCGUUGCAGAAAAUGGUGACAACAAUGGUGAUCAGAAUGUUCCAGAGACUGCAAAAGAGGCUGAAGUUCUGGUGGACAUUAAAGAUGAGCAUUCUCUAACCAAGAGAAAUGAUGGUUUCGAGCACAAGCCGCAGCACCCUAGUGAUGCACCAAAGCACAGCGUGAGCCACCAUGAUGCUCAGCUUGGUGGUAGACAUGAAGAACAUAAAAUGCCUCGACCCGAAGGUUGA
rnacentral:rRNA from 1 species